GAUUACGGCCAUUCAAUCCUGAAUGCGCCCGAUCUCGUCUGAUCUUGUAAGUUAAGCAGGGUCAGGCCUGGUUAGUACUUGGAUGGGUGACCACCUGGGAAUACCAGGUGUUGUAAGCU
rnacentral:rRNA from 1 species